CAUAAAUUUACAAGAACUUCCACGCAUAUAUUUUUAACACUAAAUAUUUAUUCGUAUAUCGAUAAAAUAGUUUUAUUAGGAUAUAAUUAUUAAUUAAAAUACCUCUAGGAUAGAUAUUUUUUUUAAAGUAAGAUAAUUUUGAAUGAGAUUAAAGGACUGGGUUCUAUGAUAUUUUAACACAAUAUUUUUAAUAAUUUGAUUGAUUGACAUGUAAAAAAUUCUAGUAAACAAAACAAAUAUUUUCUCUUUAUUUUCUUUAUUAUUUAUCUUCUUGCAUCAUGGAAACAACAUCUCAUAUGCCUCCGCAGCCACGCGAGCGACAGCCACCUCCGGAGCCCCGGGUACGUCAGCCUCCACCACCACCACGGCGUGCAACCGCGCAGCCUCCACCCCAGCCAAGAGAGCGCCACGCGCCCCCUGCGCCCCGGGAGAGGAUACCACCACCUCCCCCAAAACACUGAUCCCAGAUCUCGACAACUAUGUAGAAAUAUCAGGGAAUGCUUUUGACAUUAGAAAUUAAUAGUGGGCUCAUACUAUUAUAUUUUUUUCAGUCUAUGAUAACCCAAAUAAUCCAAAGCAUUUCCUGGUGUAACUGCUCAUUAAUGUUUUAUUGUCUUUCUUACUAAGGAUAUUAUGAGUAAUAUGAUCCAUGUGUUAUAUAUGACUCAUACUAGGAUAAUGCAGCUGUUGUUGAUAAAGAAAUCAGCAGAAUAUAUUUUGCUGAUGUUUGUGUGAACAAGAAACGUUGUACAACUGUUUUAUAUACAUAUUUUGUACUUUUUUUAUUAAAAUGUUUAUAAGACUUUGGCUUUAUAGAUUCUCAAGAGUAAAAUAAUAUACCAACUAUAAUGUGAUUAGCCACUUUUUCUCAUAAUUAUCUGUAUCUGUCAUACCUUGCUGAGAGCUUAGCAAAUUUUUUUUAAUUUGGGGAAUAACCUAUUUCAAUAAUAAUAUUUUUCGGUUGAGGGUAUUUACCUAAAAUCUUGGUCAAUUUCCUGUAACUUUUUUUGGUAUAAAUAAGAGACAAAUACCUACACAGGGUUUUUGCUCCAUUAUAAAUGAAUCAUGAUAAUAACCAUGAGCAAUAAUUUUAGUAGAAUGAUGCUAGCUGUGUCAGAUAAUAUAUUUCAACACUAAUGUAGUAGACGCUUGCGUGGGCGAAGGAUGUUCAUAAUCUAAACGUGAUAACUUACAAAAUCCUCAGUUUGUUCGCUUCUCUCUGAACAUUAGGUAUCUAGUUAGUGACAAACAAACUUAGAAAAAUGUAUCGUCGAUUGUUCCUGAUAUUAAUGUUGUUUGUGUGCGUUGUGUUUUGUCGCCCGAAUGUUGCGAGGCAGGAAAAAGUUCUUAUGAAUCCACAAGCAGUACGUAAGAGCAAUGCGCUGUUCGCCUUCGCUGAUGACUCCCCGGUGAGCAACUCCUGCCCUGAUGGAUUUCAAAUGGACAUCUCUGGAGUCUGUCGGGAGGUGUGGUAUGAUGAAUACGACAAUUAGACAAAAUACUACGCGACAAAAUACGAGAUAGACCUCGAAUUCGCUGUCGACAUAUCGACCGAGGAGAUGAACAUGGACAAUCAUUAUAUGUCUAUCUAUAUAUUGAUUCUAUGUUGAAUAACAAAAGUUUUUAUUAAACUUGUAACGAUUUA